rnacentral:rRNA from 1 species
GACGAACGCCGGCGGCGUGCUUAACACAUGCAAGUCGAACGGUGAAAGCGGAGCUUGCUCCGCUGGAUCAGUGGCGAACGGGUGAGUAACACGUGGGCAACCUGCCCCUCACUUCGGGAUAACUCCGGGAAACCGGGGCUAAUACCGGAUAUGACCUCCUUGGGCAUCCUUGGAGGUGGAAAGUUUUUCGGUGGGGGAUGGGCCCGCGGCCUAUCAGCUUGUUGGUGAGGUAGUGGCUCACCAAGGCGACGACGGGUAUCAGGCCUGAGAGGGCGACCGGCCACACUGGGACUGAGACACGGCCCAGACUCCUACGGGAGGCAGCAGUGGGGAAUAUUGCGCAAUGGGCGAAAGCCGGACGCAGCAACGCCGCGUGCGGGAUGACGGCCUUCGGGUUGUAAACCGCUUUCAGCAGGGAAGAAGCCGCAAGGUGACGGUACCUGCAGAAGAAGCACCGGCUAACUACGUGCCAGCAGCCGCAGUAA